CGGACUACCAGGGUUUCUAAUCCUGUUCGCUCCCCACGCUUUCGUGCCUGAGCGUCAAUAUCGGCUUAGUGAGCUGCCUUCGCGAUCGGUGUUCUGUAGCAUCUCUAUGCAUUUCACCGCUACAUGCUACAUUCCGCCCACUUCAACCGUAUUCUAGAUUACCAGUAUCAAUGGCAGUUCCGGGGUUGAGCCCCGGGAUUUCACCACUGACUUAAUAAUCCGCCUGCGCACCCUUUAAACCCAAUGAAUCCGGAUAACGCUUGCACCCUCCGUAUUACCGCGGCUGCUGGCACAG
rnacentral:misc_RNA from 1 species